rnacentral:piRNA from 1 species
UGUGGCUCAAGACGGAAUGUAAAUUU